rnacentral:rRNA from 1 species
GACGAACGCUGGCGGCGUGCUUAACACAUGCAAGUCGAACGGAAAGGCCCUGCUUGCAGGGUGCUCGAGUGGCGAACGGGUGAGUAACACGUGGGUGAUCUGCCCCUUACUUUGGGAUAAGCCUGGGAAACUGGGUCUAAUACUGGAUAGGACCAUGCUGUAGGUGGUGUGGUGGAAAGAUUAGUUUCGGUAAGGGAUGAGCUCGCGGCCUAUCAGCUUGUUGGUGGGGUAAUGGCCUACCAAGGCGUCGACGGGUAGCCGGCCUGAGAGGGUGGACGGCCACAUUGGGACUGUGAUACGGCCCAGACUCCUACGGGAGGCAGCAGUGGGGAAUAUUGCACAAUGGGCGCAAGCCUGAUGCAGCGACGCCGCGUGGGGGCUGACGGCCUUCGGGUUGUAAACUCCUUUCAGCCAUGACGAAGCCCUUGUGGUGACGGUAGUGGUAGAAGAAGCACCGGCUAACUACGUG